rfam:Candidatus Altiarchaeum sp. CG2_30_32_3053 cg_3.0_sub100_scaffold_358_c, whole genome shotgun sequence.
GGGCUUAUAGCUCAGUUUGGUAGAGCGACGGACUCUUAAUCCGUCUGUCGCGGGUUCAAAUCCCGUUAAGCCCG